rnacentral:rRNA from 1 species
AUACGUAGGUGGCAAGCGUUGUCCGGAAUUAUUGGGCGUAAAGCGCAUGUAGGCGGUAAUUUAAGUCUGUCGUGAAACUGCGGGGCUCAGCCCCGUAUGGCGAUGGAAACUGGGUUACUUGAGUGCAGGAGAGGAAAGGGGAACUCCCAGUGUAGCGGGGAAAUGCGUAGAUAUUGGGAAGAACACCGGUGGCGAAGGCGCCUUUCUGGACUGUGUCUGACGCUGAGAUGCGAAAGCCAGGGUAGCGAACGGGAUUAGAUACCCCGGUAGUCCUGGCCGUAAACGAUGGGUACUAGGUGUGGGAGGUAUCGACCCCUUCCGUGCCGGAGUUAACGCAAUAAGUACCCCGCCUGGGGAGUACGGCCGCACGGCUUAAACUCAAAUGAAUUGACGGGG